rnacentral:rRNA from 1 species
GCUCAGAACGAACGCUGGCGGCAGGCCUAACACAUGCAAGUCGAGCGCAGUCCUUCGGGACCGAGCGGCGGACGGGUUAGUAACGCGUGGGAACAUACCCUUUUCUACGGAAUAGCCUCGGGAAACUGAGAGUAAUACCGUAUAAGCCCUUCGGGGGAAAGAUUUAUCGGGAAAGGAUUGGCCCGCGUUAGAUUAGAUAGUUGGUGGGGUAAUGGCCUACCAAGUCUACGAUCUAUAGCUGGUUUUAGAGGAUGAUCAGCAACACUGGGACUGAGACACGGCCCAGACUCCUACGGGAGGCAGCAGUGGGGAAUCUUAGACAAUGGGCGCAAGCCUGAUCUAGCCAUGCCGCGUGUGUGAUGAAGGUCUUAGGAUCGUAAAGCACUUUCGCCAGGGAUGAUAAUGACAGUACCUGGUAAAGAAACCCCGGCUAACUCCGUGCCAGCAGCCGCGGUAAUACGGAGGGGGUUAGCGUUGUUCGGAAUUACUGGGCGUAAAGCGUACGUAGGCGGAUCAGAAAGUAGGGGGUGAAAUCCCAGGGCUCAACCCUGGAACUGCCUCCUAAACUCCUGGUCUUGAGUUCGAGAGAGGUGAGUGGAAUUCCAAGUGUAGAGGUGAAAUUCGUAGAUAUUUGGAGGAACACCAGUGGCGAAGGCGGCUCACUGGCUCGAUACUGACGCUGAGGUACGAAAGUGUGGGGAGCAAACAGGAUUAGAUACCCUGGUAGUCCACACCGUAAACGAUGAAUGCCAGUCGUCGGGCAGUAUACUGUUCGGUGACACACCUAACGGAUUAAGCAUCC